rnacentral:rRNA from 1 species
GCAACUCGCCUACACGAAGCCGGAAUCGCUAGUAAUCGCGGAUCAGCAUGCCGCGGUGAAUACGUUCCCGGGCCUUGUACACACCGCCCGUCACACCAUGAGAGUCUGUAACACCCAAAGCCGGUGGGAUAACCUUUAUAGGAGUCAGCCGUCUAAGGUAGGACAGAUGAUUAGGGUGAAGUCGUAACAAGGUAGC